ensembl:lncRNA
CCGGCUUCCGGCAGCGCCGCGCCCGCCGGUUCACCGCCGCUCCAGCCCUCGUGGGACUCAGUGCCCCGCCUCGAGGGGCGCCGCCCUCUGACCCCGCCCGGAGAGCCCCCGCUUCUCAGGACCCCCGUGGGCACGCAGGGCCUCCUCCCGACCUCAAGGCCCCAGCCGCACCCCGUCCUCCAAACGCGUCCGUGACCUGGAGACACGACGCCUCUCCCAGGGCACCAGCCAGGCUCCAGAAGGAAGAGGCCCCCACGUCCCAGGUGGCUCAGCUGGUGAAGAAUCCGCCUGCAUUGCAAGAGACCAGGGUUCUGUUCUCGGGUCGGGAAGACUCCCCUGGAGAAAGGAACGGCUACUCUGUCCAGUAUUAGCGCUUCCCUCGCGGCUCAAAGGGUAAAGAGUCUGCCCGCAAUGCAGGAGACCUGGGUUCGAUCCCUGGGUCGGGAAGAUCCCCUGGAGAAGGGAAAGGCAACCCACUCCAGUACUCUUGCCCGGAGAAUCCCAUGGACAGAGGAGCCUGGAGGGCUACGGGCCAUGGGGCUGCAGAGACACGACUGAGCGACUUCACGUUCACACUUUCACCACGCGGAGGGGGCACAGAGCCCUCUGCUCUCAGAGUGACCUUUAUCCUAAGUGAGUGCAUGAAUGCUCAGACACUUCAGUUGUGUCUGACUCUGUGACCCCAGGGACUGUGGCCCACCAGGCUUCUCUGUCCACGGGAUUCUCCAGGCAAGAAUCCUGGAGUCGGUUGCCAUGCCUUCCUCCAGGGCAUCUUCCCGACCUAGGGAUUGAACCUGCGUCUCAUGUCUCCUGCAUUGGGAGGCAGGUUCUUUACCUCUAGCAACAAACCCCCCACUUAAUUCCUAAAACCGCACUAUGGAGAUGAGAGAUGAGGAUUCAUUUUUAAAACCCACUUGCUUGCAACCUAGAGACAAGCACAAGAAAAGCCAGACUGGAAGUCAUCACGGGAGGGAAGAGAGUUUUGAGCUGAAGAAAACACUCUGACUUGAAUUCUCUUCUUUGUGGAGAACUGACAGCCGCCUCUGUGUGGAUCAGACCCAGAAAGCUGCUGCGUGCCGGCGGGUGGAACAGCCACGCCUGUGCCCGCAGAGAAGGGGGCGCAGGCUGACUGCGUCGGGCUCUUACAGGCACUGGAGCCAAAUUAGGACUUAUCAGCACGUUCAUUAUCUAAAAAUAAACCAGCUUUUCUUUGCUUCAUCAAAAGAUCAGAUUAUAGAGUACACCGCCUUACUUGCAGAAUAAAGUGUUUUUAUUCUUAGACAGUG